CCCUCUUAUCAACUUUAAUGCAAAUUAAAUUAGGAUCAACUGUUUUUACCAAGCAAUUUGCUUCGUACGGAAAUAAAUCACGGUGAUGUGCUAUGGAUGCGGUGGGACUAGAGUUGCUGCCAUCAACGUCCAUUAUUUUUGACAAAGAAAAGAACUCAUGCAUGAAGGAUGAGACCGCGCUAGAGACAUGCAAGUUGGAUGCGGCAUCAAUUCUCGCCGCCGGAAGCGUUGCAAUCGUCAGCCGUGAGCUCGGCGCCGUGAUCUAUGACGCCAAGCUAAGCAUAGACGCCAUCGUAGCAUGAGUAGUCCAGUGUGUAUCUAUUACCUCGACAUUAUAAGUCAUGACGCCGAGACAUAUUAUAUUGUCGUCAUGAUUUAUAGCGCCCAGCAAAAGGCCUAAAAACGACAUUAAAUCGUCAAAGGUCUAAACAUGAAUUUGUUUCAAAAAAAGACCAACUACAAAAAAAAAAUUAGGCAUAUUUGCGUUAAUGAAGGAUUCCCAAAUCCUCUAUAGCUUACGUCAGCUGACGGCAACAAUUAGUAUUUGAAAUUUUGUUACAUGGUUACGGUCGUAAUAAUCUGGCGGCGUGCAGGCACAUGCAAGUGUCUUGAUGCUUUUCGCGUGUGGAACCAAAUUGUGAGCUGUACCGGCUUCCCAAGAUUUCUACGUGCUACUUUAGUUGAUAUGCAGGGUCGUCAGUUUUUUUAGCUUUCUACCAAAAAAAUCA
rnacentral:lncRNA from 1 species